UAAAUACUCUCUCCGUUCAGAAUUACUCGUCGCACAAAUGGAUGUAUCUAGACGUUCUAGAUACAUCCAUUUGUGCGACGAGUAAUUCCGAACGGAGGAAGUAUGAA
rnacentral:pre_miRNA from 1 species